GGAUGUUCCUUUUGUGUGGUCAC
rnacentral:siRNA from 1 species